ensembl:snRNA U6 U6 spliceosomal RNA
GUGCUUGCUUAGGCAGCACAUAUACUAAAACUGGGACGACGCAGAGAUUAGCAUGGCCCCUGCGCAAGGAUGAAACGCAAAUUCGUGAAGUGUUCCAUAUUUUU